UACGUAGGGGGCAAGCGUUAUCCGGAAUUACUGGGUGUAAAGGGAGCGUAGACGGUAAUGUAAGUCUGGAGUGAAAGGCGGGGGCCCAACCCCCGGACUGCUCUGGAAACUAUGUUACUAGAGUGCAGGAGAGGUAAGCGGAAUUCCUAGUGUAGCGGUGAAAUGCGUAGAUAUUAGGAGGAACACCAGUGGCGAAGGCGGCUUACUGGACGGCAACUGACGCUGAGGCUCGAAAGCGUGGGGAGCAAACAGG
rnacentral:rRNA from 1 species